GCUAGCGUUGCUCGGAAUCACUGGGCGUAAAGCGCACGUAGGCGGAUUUUUAAGUCAGGGGUGAAAUCCUGGAGCUCAACUCCAGAACUGCCUUUGAUACUGGGAAUCUCGAGUCCGGGAGAGGUGAGUGGAACUGCGAGUGUAGAGGUGAAAUUCGUAGAUAUUCGCAAGAACACCAGUGGCGAAGGCGGCUCACUGGCCCGGUACUGACGCUGAGGUGCGAAAGCGUGGGGAGCAAACAGG
rnacentral:rRNA from 1 species